UACGUAGGGUGCGAGCGUUAAUCGGAAUUAUUGGGCGUAAAGAGCUCGUAGGCGGUUUGUUGCGUCGGCUGUGAAAUCCCGAGGCUCAACCUCGGGUCUGCAGUCGAUACGAGCAAACUAGAGUGUUGCAGGGGAGACUGGAAUUCCUGGUGUAGCGGUGAAAUGCGCAGAUAUCAGGAGGAACACCGGUGGCGAAGGCGGGUCUCUGGGCAACAACUGACGCUGAGGAGCGAAAGCGUGGGGAGCAAACAGG
rnacentral:rRNA from 1 species